rnacentral:rRNA from 1 species
CCUACGGGAGGCAGCAGUGGGGAAUAUUGCACAAUGGGCGGAAGCCUGAUGCAGCGACGCCGCGUGAGGGAUGACGGCCUUCGGGUUGUAAACCUCUUUCAGUAGGGAAGAAGCGAAAGUGACGGUACCUGCAGAAGAAGCGCCGGCUAACUACGUGCCAGCAGCCGCGGUAAUACGUAGGGCGCAAGCGUUAUCCGGAAUUAUUGGGCGUAAAGAGCUCGUAGGCGGUUUGUCGCGUCUGCCGUGAAAGUCCGGGGGCUCAACUCCGGAUCUGCGGUGGGUACGGGCAGACUAGAGUGAUGUAGGGGAGACUGGAAUUCCUGGUGUAGCGGUGAAAUGCGCAGAUAUCAGGAGGAACACCGAUGGCGAAGGCAGGUCUCUGGGCAUUAACUGACGCUGAGGAGCGAAAGCAUGGGGAGCGAACAGGAUUAGAUACCCUGGUAGUCCAUGCCGUAAACGUUGGGCACUAGGUGUGGGGGUACAUUCCACGUUUUCCGCGCCGUAGCUAACGCAUUAAGUGCCCCGCCUGGGGAGUACGGCCGCAAGGCUAAACUACAGAUAGUGCGNGNGAGNGCGACGACGACGACGACGAGGAG